AGGUUGUUAGGCUCAUGGAGUUACAGAGCUCAAAGGGGUCAUGGAAGAAGAACAGCCUUCAUAUAGAGCCUCAAAUGUGACCUCAGUUACCUCGUUUCUGCAAGUGCUCAGAGCGCUCUUGUCAGACAGACGUGGUUUUUCCUGGAUAACACUGAACAG